rnacentral:rRNA from 1 species
CGGAGAGGGAGCCUGAGAAACAGCCCUACAUCCAAGGAAGGCAGCAGGCGCGUAAAUUUCGCAAUCGUGAUACCCCGACGAAGUGACCAGAAGUACAGAGGUUAUUGCUCUAUGCAAAAACCAUCUGAAUGAGUACCAUUUAAAACACGUAACGAUGAUCCACUAGAGGGCAAGUCUGGUGCCAGCAGCUGCGGUAAUUCCAGCUCUAGUAGCGUAUAUUAAUGUUGCUGCAGUUAGAAAGCUCGUAGUUCGUUUUCGGGGCCUGAAGUCUUGGUUCGGCGGCUUUUAUGUCGACUGUAUACCUUGAUUGUUUCAGGCUCUUCCUUUAGGCACCUUUUACUAGGCUGCCUAAACUUCUACUGAGAUCAAAUAGACACGUUCCACGUAUACUUACGUAUGAACUAUCCAGCUUGGAAUAGAACCUUAGGACUCGUGGGUUUUAUACGAUGCAAUCUACGAUUAAUAAGCCAUAGGAAACGGAGGGGAUGCUUGUACCAGCGCGCCAGAGGUGAAAUUCUCGGAUUGCGCUGAGACAGUCUUAUGCGAAAGCGUUCAUCAAUUAGUUCUCCUUUGAUCAAGAACGAAAGUAGCGGGAUCGAAAACGAUCAGAUACCGUUGUAGUCGCUACCAUAAACUAUACCGAUCCUCGAUUCUUUGGCUUUUUCAUUUAUAAAACCAAAGAGCAGAGCGUAGGAAACUAGAAUAUUUGGGUUCCGGGGAGAGUAUUGUCGCAAGGCUGAAAUUUAAAGGAAUUGACGGAAUCGCACCACAAGGAGUGGAGCCUGCGGCUUAUUUUGACUCAACACGGAGAAACUUACCAGGUCCAGACUGAAGUAGGAUUGACAGCGCUAGAGACCUUUCAUGAUUUU